AAUAGGAAAGACCCUCAAAGCUAUUAUUUUUCUCCUUUGUUGCAAUGAAACACCACCCCAUGUUGUCUAAAUGGCUUCUUUUCAUCUUUCUCACGUACUACUCAACCUAUCUCACUGUAUCACAUUCGUUGAAAAUUCCAAGGUUGAGUCCCAUUGCUGAAUGGGAAACAACUUUACACAACCGUGCAACUGUGGUUGCAACUGAUACAGAUACAGAGAACCUCAUAACAUUUUACUACAAACAAGUUCUUGAUCACUUCAACUAUAGACCUGAAAGCUACAAAACCUUUCAACAAAGAUAUCUGAUCAAUUUCAAGUACUGGGGUGGUGCCAAUUCUAGUGCCCCAAUAUUUGCCUAUUUGGGUGCAGAAGAACCAAUAGAUGGUUCCCCUGAACUCAUAGGAUUUCUCACUGAUAACGCUGCUUCCUUUAAUGCUCUCAUAGUAUACAUAGAGCACCGUUACUAUGGGAAAUCAGUACCAUUUGGAUCGAGGGAAGAAGCACUGAAGAAUGCAAGCACUAUUGGGUAUUUCAACUCAGCUCAAGCAAUAGCAGAUUAUGCAUCAGUCCUCAUACAUAUUAAGAAGACAUUACAUGCCCAAAAGUCCCCGGUGAUUGUGAUUGGAGGAUCAUAUGGAGGAAUGCUUGCUUCAUGGUUUAGGCUCAAAUAUCCCCACCUGGCUAUUGGUGCUCUGGCCUCAUCAGCUCCAAUCCUCUACUUCGAUAAUAUUACCCCACAAGACGGUUACUACUCUGUUGUUUCAAGGGAUUUUAGAGAGGCCAGUGAAACAUGCUACCAAACUAUAUUGAAGUCCUGGUCUGAAAUCGACAGAGUAGCUUCUCAGCCAAAGGGUCUUUCCAUUCUUAGCCAGAGAUUCAACACUUGCCGUCCCUUAAAUGAGUCUUCAGAGUUGAAAGACUACCUGAUUAAUAUGUAUGCUUCUUCGGCUCAAUACAAUCAUCCGCCAAGAUAUCCAGUUACUGUGAUUUGUGGCGGCAUUGAUAGAGCUUCUUUUGGAAGUGAUAUCCUCAGUAAGAUAUAUGCAGGUUUGGUGGCUUUAAGGGGAAACACCACCUGCAAAGUUAAUGGUCCUAUUAUUGUAUCUGAGACAACCCUGGGAUGGAGAUGGCAGACAUGUAGUGAAAUGGUGAUACCCAUCGGCAUAGGAAAUAAUACCAUGUUUCAACCCGACCCUUUUAGCUUAAAGAGCUAUGCCAAGGACUGCAAGAAACAAUUUGGUGUCUCACCUCGCCCUCAUUGGGUCACUACUUACUAUGGAGGCCAUAGUAUAGAAUUGGUCCUUCAAAAGUUUGGUAGCAACAUCAUUUUCUCUAAUGGACUAAGAGACCCUUAUAGUAGCGGCGGGGUUCUGAAAAACAUAUCAGACAGUCUUGUUGCCAUCCAUACAGUAAAUGGAUCUCAUUGCCUGGACAUUCUGGGUGCAAAUGCAAAUCAUAGCGAUCCAGAAUGGUUGGUCGAACAAUGGAAGAGAGAGAUCAUGGUUAUGAAAGGGUGGAUCGCCCAAUACUAUGAUGAUCUCGUUGCACUCAACGGGGCCACAAAAUUUCAAAGCAAAUGAUAGGAUGAAAACAAGUUAACAACCCCAACAUUUACACAUCAUAAGGAAAUAAUGAAGCAUUUCCUACCAUUAAUAAUACAUUAGUAAUUUCUAUUAAUAACGAUUUCAUGUUGCUAAUCAAUGGAAUGGGAAUGUUGUGAUGUCAUAGCAUUUGUGGGCUAUUAUCAUACUAUUAUUACCAGCGUUAAUAAUGUCAUUAUGAUCAAUCAGUAACCAAAUUAACUAGAACAUUUUAUCCUUCGAAAGUUAGAUUAAAAAACAAAACAAAAAUUCAAAUAUACCUAUUUACGCACAGAGCAUAGUUCUUUUCCCCUUAUGUUUCUCCCUAUAACUAGGAAGGUGGUUAUUAUCACUCACAUUGCAUCAAACAAAAACCAAAAUCGAAACUGAAACCAAAACCUUGAGAAAACUGAACAUGGCGGAGGACCCUGCCGGAGAGAAUCGCUUCUAGUGCCGCCGAAUGAAGAGGUUGCAAAAGCAUCGACAGAGUUUCGUUUGUCAAACCAAUUGACAAAUGAUCAUCAAAAUCAUCGAUCCUUCACUUUCCGUGGUUAGCCAUUCUUUCAUCAAAAUCAUCGAUCCCAGUGAGACAUUCUUUCUUCCUUCUUGUUUCUGUUGAAAGUUGAAACGUUUCUUUUCUUCUUCUUUUUGUAUUGAGUUGUGCAAACCUAGUUAGUCAUUAUUCACCUUUUUCCUCUUUUUCUUUCUUUGAAUGUCUGAAGUUUCUGUUUUGUGUAAUAGGUGUGGUUUGUUUACAGUGGUGACAUGUUGAAUUGUGACGGGUCUGAUUUUGUUCUGA